ACUCUGGUGGCCUAGUGGUUAGAACAUCUGCUUCAGAUGUGGGAGGUCACCGGUUCAAAUCCUGGCCGAAGAU